GGGUGCGGAACACGUGUGCACUGCCUUUAUCUGGGGGAUAGCCUUUCGAAAGGAAGAUUAAUACCCCAUAAUAUGUUGAAUGGCAUCAUUCGACAUUGAAAACUCCGGUGGAUAGAGAUGGGCACGCGCAAGACUUCAGAUAGUUGGCUGAGGUACGGCUCACCAAGUCUAACGAUCUUCAGGGGCCUGAAAGGGUGACUCCCCCCACACUGGUCACUGACCACCACGGGACCGAAUUCCUCAACGGGAGGCAGUCAGCUGGAGGCAAUCAUCUGGGGACAACUGGGGCGUUCGAUCCACGCCCCUCGCAUCUCCCAAGGCCAAUUCCCCCGGGUUCGAAUCGGACGACUCUUGGCCCUAUUGGGGGUUUGGAAAACUCCCCAUCGGGCACAUAAGGGGGAUCUAAAAACUUACACCUUCGUGGAACGAAGUCUAAGCUUGAAGCGGGUAAAUUCAAUCGACGAGGAACAUUUAAGGACGCNAACCCGGGGGGAUAUACAAAAUCCUCACCGGGGGUGGCCCAAAAGCCAAGCCCCGGCGGGGGAAAAAACAUCACGGGGGACACGCGCCGCUCGUGACAAAANGCGGGCUUAACUCUCC
rnacentral:rRNA from 1 species